UGGGGAAUAUUGGACAAUGGGCGCAAGCCUGAUCCAGCCAUGCCGCGUGAGUGAUGAAGGCCUUAGGGUUGUAAAGCUCUUUCGCCGGUGAAGAUAAUGACGGUAACCGGAGAAGAAGCCCCGGCUAACUUCGUGCCAGCAGCCGCGGUAAUACGAAGGGGGCUAGCGUUACUCGGAAUCACUGGGCGUAAAGCGCACGUAGGCGGAUCGUUAAGUCAGGGGUGAAAUCCUGGAGCUCAACUCCAGAACUGCCCUUGAUACUGGCGAUCUCGAGUUCGAGAGAGGUUGGUGGAACUCCGAGUGUAGAGGUGAAAUUCGUAGAUAUUCGGAAGAACACCAGUGGCGAAGGCGGCCAACUGGCUCGAUACUGACGCUGAGGUGCGAAAGCGUGGGGAACAAACAGGAUUAGAUACCCUGGUAGUCCACGCCGUAAACGAUGGAUGCUAGCCGUUGGGGGGUUUACCUCUCAGUGGCGCAGCUAACGCCUUAAGCAUCCCGCCUGGGGAGUACGGUCGCAAGAUUAAAACUCAAAGGAAUUGACGGGGUCAUAGCUGUUUUCCU
rnacentral:rRNA from 1 species